AAAAAAUCUCAUUGCAACACAAGAAGGCAAAAUAUGCUAAGAAAUGUAUUCCUAGUUACUGUGAGCAGGCAGCACUGGGGGCUGACAAGUCCUGGAAAGCUGUGUGAAAUGACUUGGACCUUUCACAUCUGUCCUUAUUUCAUCUGUCCCCAGCGAAAAAAAGAGAGACAUGGACUAGAAUAUGUUCAUCACCAGCCACUACCUUCCCUGUCCAUCCAGUAGGAUUGACUGAAAAUGGAAGUGCCUUAUUUGGAUGCAUCAGGCUGAUAGCUGUGGCAUCUGAAGACCUUGAUGCACAGUCCAUAUCAAGCUGGGAGGGUGACAAUCUUCAGAGCUGUGUCAAGGCUUCUAACACUGCAAGGAAAAUUGGUGACAAGAUGAUGGAUCGGUUUCUCCACAUUGGCUUGUUGAUUCAACAAAACUUAAGUGGAUAUUGGCAUUUGUCAUUCAGCUUUGGACCCCUACAGACUCCUGCUGCUGAUUAGUCAAAUACUUCACCUCCUUGUAAUUAUUGUUUCAACAGCAGAGGCUCCAAGACAUUCUCCUGAGAACAAACUUUUACAGCAUAACUGCAAAGAAGUGCUACUUAGUACCAGUUGAGUGAGAAGUAAGCACAUGGGAAAAUGGAAGCAAUCAAUGGCAGUGUUUGCAACGGCUUAACCCUGUUGGCCCUUGCAUGUUAAUAUAUUAUUUAUGCAUUGCUUCCCCAGCAGGAAGAAAUUAGAACGAUUAGCAUUUUUUAUUUGUCUGCUGAAAAACACAAAUUGGAAAAAUGUUUGCUUGUAUUUUUGUUUAUUCCCUUUGAAAAGCUGUGAGGUCAGGACAAUCUCUCAUCAUUUGCACUUAUUUCCCAAGCUUUGCUUCCACAUUUUCUAAUCAUCUAGACACAGUCUGUUUUAUGAAGGUUAAAGGAAACUUAGUCAGGUAAAAGAGGUUAAAAUGGAAGAGUCUUUUAACUAUAAUAAUAGAGAACAAAUACACUUGCAUGCACUGAAAUGCAUCAUGUCCUUCCACUGAUGGUAUUUCACUAUUAAAAAAAUAAAUCCUCCAUGGCUGUAGCUGAGAUUAUAUAG
rnacentral:lncRNA from 1 species